CGGGUGAGUAACACGUGAGGAACGUGCCCCAGAGACCGGGAUAAGCCGAGGAAACUUGGUCUAAUACCGGAUGUCCCCACCGGAUCGCAUGGUCUGGUGAGGAAAUGGAUUCCGCUCUGGGAUCGCCUCGCGUCCUAUCAGCUAGUUGGUGGGGUAACGGCCCACCAAGGCUUCGACGGGUAGCUGGUCUGAGAGGACGAUCAGCCACAUUGGGACUGAGACACGGCCCAG
rnacentral:rRNA from 1 species